rnacentral:rRNA from 1 species
UUUAUGAGUUAGUGGCGGACGGGUGAGUAACGCGUGGGCAACCUGGCCUGUACAGGGGGAUAACACUUAGAAAUAGGUGCUAAUACCGCAUAACGGGGAAGCCGCAUGGCUUUUCCCUGAAAACUCCGGUGGUACAGGAUGGGCCCGCGUCUGAUUAGCCAGUUGGCAGGGUAACGGCCUACCAAAGCGACGAUCAGUAGCCGGCCUGAGAGGGCGGACGGCCACACUGGGACUGAGACACGGCCCAGACUCCUACGGGAGGCAGCAG